UCCUAGGCAUAAAAUCUGAACUUUCUCCAAGGAAUUUUCUUCCUGGUGAGAAAUGACAUCAGAGAUCACAGUACAGGCAUUUUCCUUUUGGUUAGGUCAAACAAUUACUUUGUACUGAAGUAAAUGUACUUCUAAAAAGAAAAAAAGAAGAAGAAAAGAAGAAAGUUUUAAAAACUGUUUUAAUCCGUUAUCACUAAAAAACUAGAAUGCUUCAAAAAUCAGCAGCAGUGAGUAUGGUACUAUGUCCAGAUUAAAAGAAGGAGUUUUGAAGUAUCAUAAAUUUUUGGAGAACAUUAAAGUUUCUUCUUCUAUA